rnacentral:rRNA from 1 species
AACGAACGCUGGCGGCAUGCCUAACACAUGCAAGUCGAACGAGACCUUCGGGUCUAGUGGCGCACGGGUGCGUAACGCGUGGGAACCUGCCCUUAGGUUCGGAAUAACUCCCCGAAAGGGGUGCUAAUACCGGAUAAUGUCUUCGGACCAAAGAUUUAUCGCCUUUGGAUGGGCCCGCGUUGGAUUAGCUAGUUGGUAGGGUAAAAGCCUACCACGGCGACGAUCCAUAGCUGGUCUGAGAGGAUGAUCAGCGACACUGGGACUGAGACACGGCCCAGACUCCUACGGGAGGCAGCAGUGGGGAAUAUUGGACAAUGGGGGAAAGGCUGAUCCAGCAAGGCCGCGUGAGUGAUGAAGGCCGUAGGGUUGUAAAGCUCUUUUACCCGGGAUGAUAAUGACAGUACCGGGAGAAUAAGCCCCGGCUAACUACGUG